GUCAUGCUCGUCGGCAACGGCCCAAUGGGCGUUUUUUCUUCUGAAAAGGUCCACGGGCCAACCUAGCCUCCCUCCAUCAGCCUAACGGGCCUUAAGGCCCAGUGAGCAGUGCAUCGGAUCCUCUCGGUCCGCGAGGACCGCGACGCGCACCGGAGCGAAAGCGACGGCCGCCCUCUCUGCUCCGCCCUGAGGAGACAGGAACGCGCACCGCCGCAGCGGCGGAAGCAUCCGCGUCGGUGUCGACCUCGCCGUCUCGCUUCCUUCGAUGCUUCCGCCGGAGUCGACGCCGGCAAGUGAUAGCGGUUAAUAACUGAUGGAAGUAUGGAACUAUUUGUAGUCAGUAGUCACGUUCCGAGUCUCGUGUAUAUAGCUUGUCUGCUAAAUGACACACGUUGACUGCAGAAACAGAAACUGCUGAAGUCAGGAAAUUGACUUGACAGGUGCAGCCUCAAGAUUGGAGUUGCUUUCUUAAUUACAGAAACCCAAACUUGAAGCUGCACCAAUAUGCUUUCCUAUUUCCAUCGUCAUGCUGAUAUACAUCCAAUAAUACAGCUCGUACGUCCAAGCAGACACAGGAUAUAAACAAAGAAAAUUAAAGUGCAUAUGCCACAUAAGUUGAACCAGCAGGGUAAGUCACUGGAUCACUUCUCUCUGCGGAAAAGCUAUCGUCAAUCAUCACAGUUGGGGUCCUGGGGAGAAAGAGGUGGCAUGAGAUGUUCGUAUUCCAGGACAGAGGGCAUCUCCCUUUUGUUUACCCCGGCAGCUAGCUUGCAAAUCCAAUCAGAAAUCUUUGCUUCUCCAAUCCAAGAAGAUGCACGUUGGCGCCGCUGAAUAUGUCUGCCAUCGGUGAAGAACCGGGGGUCUCCUAUAAUUGCAAAGAUAAUUGCACAGGACUUGCAGUUGAGCCAGGAAAUAAAAGGACUUUUAGAAUUACGAGCCAGUAAAAUGAGCUCGCUCACUGACUCACUCGCUCCAGAUGACACCUCCAGAUAACCCUGCCCAGAAGAGGUGAGCUCCCUCCGGGCAUGGGCGGCAGCAGGACGGCAAUUAGCAAGGCUGGCAUUAGAAGAUCACGGGGGAAGGGAAGGCAAGUUUGACGGAUGAAGCGAGAGGCAUCUUUUCUUUUCUUACGGGGUCCCCUCCAAGAACAUAGGUCCACCCCCUCUCCCUCCCUACCCUACAGUACGCCCCCAACAAUCCAUGAUCCAUCUCGAUUAAUUUGGGACAGAGGGACUGGAGUAUAUAUACUUGCCUAUGAACACGUGUGCUUUAAUUUUUACGUGGUCACAGACACAGCAAGUGAAUGUUGCUGGGGACUGGGAAUAUCGAUCCCUUUUUAGGCGUGUGAUCUCGUCCUUGUCCACGGCUAGCUGUCAGCCGAGUGUGCAUGUGUGGUAUGCAUGCGUCCAUAUAUAGCCAGUUUUUUUUUUUGUGAUUUUCCUGUAUCAAAUAAACAAAAUCGAUCCUAACGCUUGGUUGGCUAUGUGGAAAGCAUGCACGGACGCAUGUGCGCUCAAUAGCAAUAGAAUGGCGUAAUCGGCAAGAAUCUAAGGUAACAUGGCCUGCUUGCAUUGCCUGCCGCAUAGGUUUGCGGCAAUAUCGAUUUUCCCGUUUUUAAGUAGUACAUGAGAGCGCACGUACAUGUAUCACGCCCCGCG